CAUAGACAGUUGCCUAGGGGCGCAAAAUGUCAGGGGGUAUGGCGGGUGGAUAGUGCCACGGAUAACCUACCAAAGGAGACCGUAGUGUGACAGCUGUGGCGGGUGGAUAGUGUCAGAGAGAGGAUUACCAGGAGAAGGAGAAGGAGCAGUCUACCCUGCCGUCGCCGCCAGACCGUGUGGAUUUUUGAAUGGGAGUGAUUGGAACUGCAGACAGGAGACCGGCGGCGGAUUGGCGGCGAGUGCAUGGAAUCAACGUCUUCCGGCGGCCACAUCACGGCGGCGUAUAUUAGAAUUCCUGUAUAAAUAUAUGCCUACUAAAUACAUCUGAACUAGGUACACUCACCCUCGUCCUCCGUUCGGCUGGGCUCAUCCACUGGCCCACUCCUCUUCAGACUUCCCUCACGGCGUCCUCCCUGCUCCCCCACCUCUCCUCGCUUCCUCGGCCCCUGUGUUCCCCGGCUCCCUGGCCCCCUGUCUCCUUGGUUCCCCGUGCCUGUACUUACCCGACGUCCUCUUCUCCAUCCUCUCCAGUCCCUCUCACCCUUUUUCCCCCAAUAAACCUCCUUCCCUCAGA